rnacentral:rRNA from 1 species
GGAAUUUUUCGCAAUGGGCGAAAGCCUGACGGAGCAACGCCGCGUGAGGGAUGAAGGCCUCUGGGCUGUAAACCUCUUUUAUCAAGGAAGAAGAUCUGACGGUACUUGAUGAAUAAGCCACGGCUAAUUCCGUGCCAGCAGCCGCGGUAAUACGGGAGUGGCAAGCGUUAUCCGGAAUUAUUGGGCGUAAAGCGUCCGCAGGCGGUCUUUUAAGUCUGUCGUCAAAGCGUGGAGCUUAACUCCAUUUCUGCGAUGGAAACUGGGAGACUAGAGUGUGGUAGGGGCAGAGGGAAUUCCCGGUGUAGCGGUGAAAUGCGUAGAUAUCGGGAAGAACACCAGUGGCGAAGGCGCUCUGCUGGGCCAUAACUGACGCUCAUGGACGAAAGCCAGGGGAGCGAAAGGGAUUAGAUACCCCUGUAGUCCUGGCCGUAAACGAUGAACACUAGGUGUCGGGGGAAUCGACCCCCUCGGUGUCGUAGCCAACGCGUUAAGUGUUCCGCCUGGGGAGUACGCACGCAAGUGUGAAACUCAAAGGAAUUGACGG